rnacentral:rRNA from 1 species
CAGUCAUGUUGGUAGGGGAAUCAACUUGAUGGUAUGCGAGUUUACUCGUGUUCUUUCGAGUACACUUCCUUACUUACAAGUUAGUAUCAAUUUUGGUUAUCAUAUAAAAAUUGAGGGAAGGUGGCUUUUCUUCGGAAAAGUGUUAUAGACCUCGAGAAAUGUGGUGAUCGGGAUUGAGGAUUGCAGCGGAUAUCCUUUUUGGGCUAGUCACCUGGCUUCUG